GACUCUGGCCGAGCGAUCGCCUUUUUCCUCCCCUCUGGGAGUGGAAGGGGAGGAAAGUCCGGACACUAGGGGACAAUCGGACCGAGUAACACUUGGGCUUUUGGGUUCUAGAAAUGGAAUUCGGAAGACGGAAAGUGCAACAGAAAGGAAACCGCCUGCCUUUGGUAGGUAAGGGUGAAAUGGUGGAGUAAGAGCCCACCGCUCUAUCUGUAAGGAUAGAGGCGGGUAAACCCUCCGAUGUGCAAUCUCAAGUAAACAACCGUUACGAGCAUGUCCCGCCAGGUUGUGGGUAGAGAGCAUCAGAUAAAUGGUCGCAUAGAACAGAAUCCGGCUUAUGGGCCAGAGUCACCU
rnacentral:RNase_P_RNA from 1 species